rnacentral:rRNA from 1 species
CUUGAACGCUGGCGGCAGGCCUAACACAUGCAAGUCGAGCGGAUGAAGGGAGCUUGCUCCUGGAUUCAGCGGCGGACGGGUGAGUAAUGCCUAGGAAUCUGCCUGGUAGUGGGGGAUAACGUCCGGAAACGGGCGCUAAUACCGCAUACGUCCUGAGGGAGAAAGUGGGGGAUCUUCGGACCUCACGCUAUCAGAUGAGCCUAGGUCGGAUUAGCUAGUUGGUGGGGUAAAGGCCUACCAAGGCGACGAUCCGUAACUGGUCUGAGAGGAUGAACAGUCACACUGGAACUGAGACACGGUCCAGACUCCUACGGGAGGCAGCAGUGGGGAAUAUUGGACAAUGGGCGAAAGCCUGAUCCAGCCAUGCCGCGUGUGUGAAGAAGGUCUUCGGAUUGUAAAGCACUUUAAGUUGGGAGGAAGGGCAGUAAGUUAAUACCUUGCUGUUUUGACGUUACCAACAGAAUAAGCACCGGCUAACUUCGUG